rnacentral:rRNA from 1 species
CCUACGGGUGACAGCAGUGAGGAAUAUUGGUCAAUGGGCGCGAGCCUGAACCAGCCAAGUCGCGUGAAGGAUGACUGCCCUACGGGUUGUAAACUUCUUUUAUAAGGGAAUAAAGUGCGGCACGUGUGCCUUUAUGUAUGUACUUUAUGAAUAAGGAUCGGCUAACUCCGUGCCAGCAGCCGCGGUAAUACGGAGGAUCCGAGCGUUAUCCGGAUUUAUUGGGUUUAAAGGGAGCGUAGAUGGGUUGUUAAGUCAGUUGUGAAAGUUUGGGGCUCAACCGUAAAACUGCAAUUGAUACUGGCAAGCUUGAGUACAGGUGAGGUAGGCGGAAUUCGUGGUGUAGCGGUGAAAUGCGUAGAUAUCACGAAGAACACCGAUGGCGAAGGCAGCUUACUAGACUGCCACUGACGUUGAUGCUCGAAAGCGUGGGUAGCAAACAGGAUUAGAUACCCUUGUAGUC